CUCUGUCCUGAGUGAGACAAUCUUGCUGUGAUGUGAGGCAGUCCAAAUCCCAGACGUUCGGCUGCAGCCCCUACAUCAGAUGUUGCUGAGACCUGCUGAGCUCACUGCGAGGGGGACAACUGAUGCUCUCCCUGACACUGGGAGAUGGCUGACAUGGGUAUUACCAGGACAGCUUUCAAGUCUCGGCUUCUGAACUAAGGGAGCAAAUGGAGGCAAAUCAGGGUCAGCUUUGGCUCAAGGCAGUCCUACGGAGGCUCCAGGGAAAAGGGCAGUUUCAGUCUGUCUGGUGAUGGCCCGUUAAGGAGGAGGACGAUCAUGGGUUUCUACAUGCCUACAGCAUGGCUGACUGGCCACAGCAGGAAAAGACUAUGCCACGGACUGCUCUUUUUCUGUUACCUGCGGGUGACCUUUGAAAGAAUAUGGUUGGACAAUGGCUUGUGGUCAGAGUGCUGCUGGAAAUUCAGAGGCUGCUAAAUGCAACACCACUGUUUGGAAUGCAGUGUGAUUUCUGUGCACAGGCACAGCUCCUGUAGUCUGCAGUUCUUGGAUAUCAGAGAGGAAUUGCACGCUCUUCCCCUGUCUGUAUCUUAC
ensembl:lncRNA